rnacentral:rRNA from 2 species
GACUCUCGGCAAUGGAUAUCUCGGCCCUCGCGUCGAUGAAAAACGUAGCAAAAUGCGAUACUUGGUGUGAAUUGCAGAAUCCCGUGAACCAUCGACUCUUUGAACGCAAGUUGCACCCCAAGCCUUCUGGCCGAGGGCACGUCUGCCUGGGUGUCA